rnacentral:misc_RNA from 1 species
GUGCCAAGUCAACUAAAGAUGACCAAAACUAAAUAGAAUUAUUAAAUAGGGUGCUACUAAAAUGGUUCCAAAAUGGUUGGCUGGCUAUACUAAUUAGAGACAGUAACUUGGACUUCUUCAAGGAAAUGCAGCUGAUCAUGUAGAUGUAGUCUUUAUCUCAGCCAUAGGUACGCAUAUAUUGCUGUACUGCUUAACUUUGCCUAAUUAAUUCGAGGUUUAUGUGAAAAUACUAAAUCUUUUAUAAUGGUAUAUAUAGGAUUAUCCCAACUAUAUUUUAAUUCAUAUUUCCAUAUUAUGAGUUAAUAUCGGAUUAUAGUUAAUUUUACAUUCCAAUUUGCUCAAAAUUGAAGGAUUUGUGUGAAAAAUAAAGGUUAAUGAGAAAAAUUAAAAGAUAUCGUUACUGUUUUAUUAUUGUUUGAUUUGUCUAUCUUGCUGUUUCUUUAGAAUUGAAUGAAAUCCAUAAUUGCUUUUGGAAAAGUAGUUGAUUUGAAAUGCAGCUCUAAACCUAACAGAAGAAAAGAAAAUUAAUAAUUGAAAGAAGGAAUUUUCUCAUGUCCAGACAAAUUGGAGCUUGGUUUAUCUGACUGCAAUGAAGACUGGGGGAAAAAUAAACACAGAUGAAGGGAGUAGCAGUACACUGUGUUGCAACUUGCAAGUGAUGUUCCAAGCAACUUGCAGACAAUUAAUUGCCUUUAUAUUUAUAAGACUGGACACUAAGAAGCAGCCACAUUGUUUUUCAUCGUCAAACUAAGGUUACAUUUUUAUGUAUAGCAAUUUUAUUAUAGCCACUAAUCAUGAUAAGUUG